rnacentral:rRNA from 1 species
AACGAACGCUGGCGGCAUGCCUAACACAUGCAAGUCGAACGAGACCUUCGGGUCUAGUGGCGCACGGGUGCGUAACGCGUGGGAAUCUGCCCUUGGGUUCGGAAUAACAGUUGGAAACGACUGCUAAUACCGGAUGAUGACGUAAGUCCAAAGAUUUAUCGCCCAAGGAUGAGCCCGCGUAGGAUUAGCUAGUUGGUGAGGUAAAGGCUCACCAAGGCGACGAUCCUUAGCUGGUCUGAGAGGAUGAUCAGCCACACUGGGACUGAGACACGGCCCAGACUCCUACGGGAGGCAGCAGUGGGGAACAUUGGACAAUGGGCGAAAGCCUGAUCCAGCAAUGCCGCGUGAGUGAUGAAGGCCUUAGGGUUGUAAAGCUCUUUUACCCGGGAUGAUAAUGACAGUACCGGGAGAAUAAGCUCCGGCUAACUCCGUG